rnacentral:rRNA from 1 species
GACGAACGCUGGCGGCGUGCCUAACACAUGCAAGUCGCACGAGGUUAUCGAAGUGCUUGCAUUUCGGUGCCUAGUGGCGAACGGGUGCGUAACACGUGAGAAACCUGCCCUGCGUGGGGGAUAGCCGGCCUAACGGCCGGGUAAUACCGCGUACGACCCCGAAGUCACCUGACUUUGGGGUGAAAGCGGGCGCAAGCUCGCGCCGGAGGAGGGUCUCGCGUCCUAUCAGCUUGUUGGUGAGGUGACGGCUCACCAAGGCGACGACGGGUAGCUGGUCUGAGAGGAUGGCCAGCCACAUUGGGACUGAGAUACGGCCCAGACUCCUACGGGAGGCAGCAGUGGGGAAUAUUGCGCAAUGGCCGCAAGGCUGACGCAGCGACGCCGCGUGUGGGAUGAAGGCUUUCGGGUCGUAAACCACUGUCAGGGGGGACGAAUACUCGGUCUCGAAUAGGGGACCGAGGGUGACGGUACCCCCAGAGGAAGCACCGGCUAACUCCGUG